GAGUUUGAUUAUGGCUCAGGAUGAACGCUAGCUACAGGCUUAACACAUGCAAGUCGAGGGGCAGCAUGAAGUCAGCUUGCUGACUUUGAUGGCGACCGGCGCACGGGUGCGUAACGCGUAUCAAACCUGCCGCAUACUCGGGGAUAGCCUUGCGAAAGUAAGAUUAAUACCCGAUGUUAUUGUUUUUCCGCAUGGGGAGAUAAUCAAAGAUUUUAUCGGUAUGCGAUGGUGAUGCGUCUGAUUAGGUAGUAGGCGGGGUAACGGCCCACCUAGCCAACGAUCAGUAGGGGUUCUGAGAGGAAGGUCCCCCACACUGGAACUGAGACACGGUCCAGACUCCUACGGGAGGCAGCAGUGAGGAAUAUUGGUCAAUGGACGGAAGUCUGAACCAGCCAAGUAGCGUGCAGGAUGACGGCCCUCCGGGUUGUAAACUGCUUUUAGUUGGGAAUAACGGCGGGGACGCGUCCCCGAAAGGAAUNACCUCAAAANGC
rnacentral:rRNA from 1 species